rnacentral:rRNA from 1 species
UCGAGGAUCUUCGGCAAUGGGCGCAAGCCUGACCGAGCGACGCCGCGUGUGCGAUGAAGGCCUUCGGGUUGUAAAGCACUGUCGAGGGGGAGGAAGCCGCAAGGUUGACCUAUCCCUGGAGGAAGCACGGGCUAAGUUCGUGCCAGCAGCCGCGGUAAGACGAACCGUGCGAACGUUGUUCGGAAUCACUGGGCUUAAAGGGCGCGUAGGCGGGUCAUCAAGUCCGGGGUGAAAGCCCCCAGCCCAACUGGGGAAGUGCCUUGGAUACUGGUGGUCUCGAGGGAGGUAGGGGCAUGCGGAACUUCCGGUGGAGCGGUGAAAUGCGUAGAUAUCGGAAGGAACGCCGGUGGCGAAAGCGGCGUGCUGGACCUCUUCUGACGCUGAGGCGCGAAAGCCAGGGGAGCAAACGGGAUUAGAUACCCCCGUAGUCC